rnacentral:rRNA from 1 species
AGUGAACGCUGGCGGUAGGCCUAACACAUGCAAGUCGAACGGCAGCACAGUAAGAUCUUGCUCUUACGGGUGGCGAGUGGCGGACGGGUGAGGAAUACAUCGGAAUCUACUUUUUCGUGGGGGAUAACGUAGGGAAACUUACGCUAAUACCGCAUACUAUCUACGGGUGAAAGCAGGGGAUCUUCGGACCUUGCGCGAUUGAAUGAGACGAUGUCGCAUUAGCUAGUUGGCGGGGUAAAGGCCCACCAAGGCAACGAUCCGUAGCUGGUCUGAGAGGAUGAUCAGCCACACUGGAACUGAGACACGGUCCAGACUCCUACGGGAGGCAGCAGUGGGGAAUAUUGGACAAUGGGCGCAAGCCUGAUGCAGCAAUGCCGCGUGGGUGAAGAAGGUCUUCGGGUCGUAAAGCCCUUUUGUUGGGAAAGAAAAGCAGCAUGUUAAUACCCCGAUGUUCUGACGGUACCUAAAGAGUAAGCACCGGCUAACUUCGUG